rnacentral:rRNA from 1 species
AUAUUGGGCGUAAGGGCUCGCAGGCGGUUUCUUAAGUCUGAUGUGAAAGCCCCCGGCUCAACCGGGGAGGGUCAUUGGAAACUGGGAAACUUGAGUGCAGAAGAGGAGAGUGGAAUUCCACGUGUAGCGGUGAAAUGCGUAGAGAUGUGGAGGAACACCAGUGGCGAAGGCGACUCUCUGGUCUGUAACUGACGCUGAGGAGCGAAAGCGUGGGGAGCGAACAGGAUUAGAUACCCUGGUAGUCCACGCCGUAAACGAUGAGUGCUAAGUGUUAGGGGGUUUCCGCCCCUUAGUGCUGCAGCUAACGCAUUAAGCACUCCGCCUGGGGAGUACGGUCGCAAGACUGAAACUCAAAGGAAUUGACGGGGGCCCGCACAAGCGGUGGAGCAUGUGGUUUAAUUCGAAGCAACGCGAAGAACCUUACCAGGUCUUGACAUCCUCUGACGACCCUAGAGAUAGGGCUUUCCCUUCGGGGACAGAGUGACAGGUGGUGCAUGGUUGUCGUCAGCUCGUGUCGUGAGAUGUUGGGUUAAGUCCCGCAACGAGCGCAACCCUUGAUCUUAGUUGCCAGCAUUCAGUUGGGCACUCUAAGGUGACUGCCGGUGACGAACCGGAGGAAAGUGUGGAUGACGUCAAAUCAUCAUGCCCCUUAUGACCUGAGCUACACACGUGCUACAAUGGACAGAACAAAGGGC